rnacentral:rRNA from 1 species
UAGGGAAUAUUGCGCAAUGGGCGGAAGCCUGACGCAGCGACGCCGCGUGGGGGAUGACGGCCUUCGGGUUGUAAACCUCUUUCGACUCUGACGAAGCUUUGUGGGUGAUACUGCGGGGUGACGGUAGGGGUAGAAGAAGCACCGGCCAACUACGUGCCAGCAGCCGCGGUAACACGUAGGGUGCGAGCGUUGUCCGGAAUUAUUGGGCGUAAAGAGCUCGUAGGCGGUGUGUCGCGUCGGCCGUGAAAACCUGCAGCUUAACUGUGGGCUUGCGGUCGAUACGGGCAUCACUGGAGUUCGGCAGGGGAGACUGGAAUUCCUGGUGUAGCGGUGAAAUGCGCAGAUAUCAGGAGGAACACCGGUGGCGAAGGCGGGUCUCUGGGCCGAUACUGACGCUGAGGAGCGAAAGCGUGGGGAGCGAACAG